rnacentral:rRNA from 1 species
ACGGCCACACCUAGGCGAAAACACCAGUUCCCGUCCGAUCACUGCAGUUAAGCGCCUGAGGGUCUCGUUAGUACUAUGGUUGGAGACAACAUGGGAAUCCGGGAUGCUGUAGGCU